rfam:Hafnia alvei FB1, complete genome.
UUGCGGCGAGGUGAUGGCGUUCCACCUUACCCAACCGCUUCCCCUGAGAAGCUGAUGACGCCUGAUAUUAC